AUUGAACGCUGGCGGCAUGCCUUACACAUGCAAGUCGAACGGUAACAGGUCUUCGGAUGCUGACGAGUGGCGAACGGGUGAGUAAUACAACGGAACGUGCCCGAUCGUGGGGGAUAACGAGGCGAAAGCUUUGCUAAUACCGCAUACGAUCUACGGAUGAAAGCGGGGGAUCUUCGGACCUCGCGCGGACGGAGCGGCCGAUGGCAGAUUAGGUAGUUGGUGGGAUAAAAGCUUACCAAGCCGACGAUCUGUAGCUGGUCUGAGAGGAUGAUCAGCCACACUGGGACUGAGACACGGCCCAGACUCCUACGGGAGGCAGCAGUGGGGAAUUUUGGACAAUGGGCGAAAGCCUGAUCCAGCCAUGCCGCGUGCAGGAUGAAGGCCUUCGGGUUGUAAACUGCUUUUGUACGGAACGAAAAGCCUCUUUCUAAUAAAGAGGGGUCAUGACGGUACCGUAAGAAUAAGCACCGGCUAACUACGUG
rnacentral:rRNA from 1 species